rnacentral:rRNA from 1 species
UACGGAGAGGCAGCAGUGGGGAAUAUUGCACAAUGGGCGCAAGCCUGAUGCAGCCAUGCCGCGUGUAUGAAGAAGGCCUUCGGGUUGUAAAGUACUUUCAGUCGUGAGGAAGGUGUUAAGGUUAAUAACCUUAGCAAUUGACGUUAGCGACAGAAGAAGCACCGGCUAACUCCGUGCCAGCAGCCGCGGUAAUACGGAGGGUGCGAGCGUUAAUCGGAAUUACUGGGCGUAAAGGGCACGCAGGCGGUUAAUUAAGUUGGAUGUGAAAUCCCCGGGCUUAACCUGGGAAUGGCAUUCAAGACUGGUUAGCUAGAGUCUUGUAGAGGGGGUAGAAUUCCAUGUGUAGCGGUGAAAUGCGUAGAGAUGUGGAGGAAUACCGGUGGCGAAGGCGGCCCCUGGGACAAAGACUGACGCUCAUGUGCGAAAGCGUGGGGAGCAAACAGGGAUUAGAUACC